AUGGCGAACCCCUCCAAUUUCCAGAUCACUCCCCGCGCCGCGAUCAUGGAGAGCAAUGAGCUCAACUUCCGCAGCCUGUACCUGUUCCACACUUCCCUCGGCGCAAAUCAGACCCAGUCCACGGUAAUAGACCCGAAUGCCACUACCGGUUUGGGUCAGACGGCUGUUAACAACUGGGCGAUAUGUGAUAGCCCUAGCCCCGGUGCCACCGUCGUUGCACGCGCACAGGGCCUGCAUAUCUAUGCCGGUAACUGGCAGAAUACUUUCAGCAUAACCUUUGAGGUUGAAAGGUACGUACGCAUAUAA
rnacentral:rRNA from 1 species